UACGUAGGGUGCAAGCGUUAAUCGGAAUUACUGGGCGUAAAGCGUGCGCAGGCGGUUCUGUAAGAUAGAUGUGAAAUCCCCGGGCUCAACCUGGGAAUUGCAUAUAUGACUGCAGGACUUGAGUUUGUCAGAGGAGGGUGGAAUUCCACGUGUAGCAGUGAAAUGCGUAGAUAUGUGGAAGAACACCGAUGGCGAAGGCAGCCCUCUGGGACAUGACUGACGCUCAUGCACGAAAGCGUGGGGAGCAAACAGG
rnacentral:rRNA from 2 species